AUUGAACGCUGGCGGAAUGCUUUACACAUGCAAGUCGAACGGCAGCACGGGGGCAACCCUGGUGGCGAGUGGCGAACGGGUGAGUAAUAUAUCGGAACGUGCCCAGUCGUGGGGGAUAACGUAGCGAAAGUUACGCUAAUACCGCAUACGAUCUACGGAUGAAAGCGGGGGAUCGCAAGACCUCGCGCGAUUGGAGCGGCCGAUAUCAGAUUAGGUAGUUGGUGAGGUAAAGGCUCACCAAGCCAACGAUCUGUAGCUGGUCUGAGAGGACGACCAGCCACACUGGGACUGAGACACGGCCCAGACUCCUACGGGAGGCAGCAGUGGGGAAUUUUGGACAAUGGGCGCAAGCCUGAUCCAGCCAUUCCGCGUGCAGGACGAAGGCCUUCGGGUUGUAAACUGCUUUUGUACGGAACGAAAAAGCCUUGGCUAAUACCCAGGGUCCAUGACGGUACCGUAAGAAUAAGCACCGGCUAACUACGUGCCAGCCGCCGCGGUAA
rnacentral:rRNA from 1 species